rnacentral:snRNA from 1 species
AAGCACUUAUGCUAAUGUUAGAACAAUACUUAGAAUAUUAGCAUGGUUUCUGAGCAAGGACAGCAAAUUCAUUGUUUUUAAAGCAGCAUUC